rnacentral:lncRNA from 1 species
AUUCUCCCCAUCUCUGUAUCUGUGUUUUUCUUCCUGUAGAUUCAGUCACUUCCUCCCCUUCUUUCUCUCUUCUCCUUUCUAGGACAUACCUUUUCUGUCCUCCUAUCCCUGGAUCCCUAAAAUCCCUCCCAACAUCCCAGCUAACAUUGCGUGGCACUGUGCAGCACCCUUGAAAGAUCUCAAGGCAACCCAGCAUGCUGCAGCUUGCUGAUGGAAAAUCACUGGGCUAAAUCAUACUCCUGCCAUACUUGUAACAUGGAGUAUCCCUCCUCACAGCCAGAAGCUCAUAAUGCAACAUGAUCAUUGAAAACCUACAGUGAAAACUCCAGUUAGUGGGAAGGCAAAAACACAGCACAUCAGAGACUGGCCCUGGUCACAGAUGUGAUGGAGAACACUGGGGCAAUAAUGCCUGUGCCUGGUCUGCCUAACAGACACACUCCUUUUAGGUCUGCAGGUUCAUUAUGUUUCUGGAGGGGAAACUGCAGAGCUGGGCACAAAGCCACAUCUACAAGGAGAAAAGACUCAUCUAGUGGCAUCUGCCCUAAAAAUGUCUUUGUCAAGAUGGAAAUAUGUAACAUAUAUUAAGAAUGAAACACUCACAUAAAAAACUGGCACCCACAAUAAAGCCUUUGUUGCUUUGUGACUCA